UGCAUAUCCCAUAGCGGAGGAAAAGAAACCAACAGGGAUUGCCUCAGUAACGGCGAGUGAAGCGGCAACAGCUCAAAUUUGAAAUCUGGCUCUCGGGCCCGAGUUGUAAUUUGUAGAGGAUGUUUCGAGCAUGGUCUGGCCUAAGUUCCUUGGAACAGGACGUCAUAGAGGGUGAGAAUCCCGUAUGCGGUCAGGUGCCUACGCUCAUGUGAAACUCCUUCGACGAGUCGAGUUGUUUGGGAAUGCAGCUCAAAAUGGGAGGUAAAUUUCUUCUAAAGCUAAAUAUUGGCCAGAGACCGAUAGCGCACAAGUAGAGUGAUCGAAAGAUGAAAAGCACUUUGGAAAGAGAGUUAAACAGUACGUGAAAUUGUUGAAAGGGAAGCGCUUGCAACCAGACUUGCACGCAGCUGAUCAUCCGGGCUUCUGCCCGGUGCACUCGGUUGUGUUCAGGCCAGCAUCAGUUUUGGGGGUGGGAUAAAGGCCCUAGGAAUGUAGCUCCUCUCGGGGAGUGUUAUAGCCUAGGGUGCAAUGCCACCACCCGGGACUGAGGACCGCGCUUCGGCUAGGAUGCUGGCGUAAUGGUUGUAAGCGACCCGUCUUGACCCCCGGACCCA
rnacentral:rRNA from 1 species